rnacentral:lncRNA from 1 species
CUGAGGACCAAGUUUCAGCACACAAGUCCAAGGAGCUUGAUUUCAUGUUCAAACUGUAAUGCCUGGCACAGCACAGUAAAUAUGGAAAGUAUCCUCGUAAACCAGCCUUACAGAUGAUGUCUCACUUCCUGACCGCUUUGAUGCUCCUGCUGCUGAUGCUGAC